GGCAAUUUAUUCAAUGAGUGAUUUAUAUUUGGAUUAUGAUCAAUUUCAACUUGUGCAUGGGAGUAGAGAUCUUAGAACAAUGAGAAUGCUACUUAGAUUACUUAAAAUGUGUAGUCUCCCUUAAGGUACUACUAACUCAGUUGCACAUAUGAUGAAUGGGAUGAAUAAGGUAUUAAGAGACUUCAUUCUUAAAAAAACUAUGCUUUUUUUAGAUGAUGUUUCUAUCAAAGGAUGUAAAGAAGGAAAAAAAGAUGAAACUUUAGAUGAGAGGGGGUGUUGCAAAUAUAUUGUUGAUCAUAUACAAGAUUGUAAAAAAG
rnacentral:lncRNA from 1 species